GACGAACGCUGGCGGCGUGCUUAACACAUGCAAGUCGAACGGAGUUCCUUGGAUAGAGGCUUCGGCCAAUUGAAUUGGAACUUAGUGGCGGACUGGUGAGUAACGCGUGAGGAACCUGCCUUUCAGAGGGGGACAACAGUUGGAAACGACUGCUAAUACCGCAUGACACAUUCGGGCGGCAUCGCUUGAAUGUCAAAGAUUUUAUCGCUGAAAGAUGGCCUCGCGUCUGAUUAGCUAGUUGGUGGGGUAACGGCCCACCAAGGCGACGAUCAGUAGCCGGACUGAGAGGUUGACCGGCCACAUUGGGACUGAGAUACGGCCCAG
rnacentral:rRNA from 1 species